GAAGCUGGAAGGAUCCAGGAAGGGUUGCAAACGUCCAGGGAGAGCAGCCUCCCCUCUCCAAGCCCAGCCCUCCUGCUGGGUCCCAGUCUGCGUGGGAGAAUCAAAGUAAACAAGCAAAAGUGAGCUGCAGUUGUCGAAGGUCUCCGCACCUACCUUUCCGGACCAGGAAGGAAGAAUAGUGCUGCAGGUGCCACAUCUAUCAGUCUCAAAGGAUGGUAUUUUCCCCACCGUAUUCGUCAUCUAUUUCACUUUUUAAAUGAACCAGGAAAAAAAUAUAUAAGGUCGAAAAACUGAAGAAUGGAGGAUGUUGAAGGCCAGCAGGACACUGUAUGGUUAAAAGGGCAAUUUGGAGGUGCUUAGGGGCCAGCUCCAGGGACAAGGGGACAGGAGGCAGCCAGUUGCAGUAGAGGUGGUGGCUGGACGCAUCCUUUCCCCGCACCCACGGACCCUGGGCGCUCCCGUCUUCCAGCAGGAAGUGGUCCCCAGCAGUGCCGUGGCUGGCCCGCGUUUGAUUCUCCUCGCCUUUCCCUUUUCCCUUUGACAGCUCUUCAUUUUGACUCCACUCCUUCGCUGGUGCCGGGCAGGCGCUCGCAAGACCACUUGGAUUUUCUUUCCUCUCUCUGCGUCCAGUAAAUUUUCUCACGUUUAAUGUGAAAACAAGCAGGCUGAGUUCGUGUGUGGUGAGGCAGACGCCCAGCGGUUUGGCGGACUUGGGUUUACGGGGCAGAGGCCCAGCCUUGCCAGAGCCUGCCUGAUGUGGUGCAGCGGAACAGAUGUGGGGGCGCUCGCUGCUUCCCCAAGUGGGUGUCAGAGCGAACCUGCAGCCUCCAGCAAUAAGAAGCCGAGGCCUCCAGGGCUGGCAGCGUUGCCCGGAGAGGCUGCUGGACACACAGGGAAUGUGCCCACGCGCCCCUCCUUCCUAGCAGGGCUACCGGCUUCCCACCUUGUUAACCCGAGUCACAGUGCAGGGUGGCAAGGAAAACCAGGGAUUUUUUCCCCCCUUACUACACAAACAGGAUAUGCCAAAAAAACGGAAGUAUCAAGAAAAGUUAAAGGGCCGGGGAUUUAGCUCAGCGGUUCGGUGGGUGACCUACCUUGCAAGCACAAGGAC